rnacentral:tRNA from 1 species
GCGGUCGUGGCGGAAGUAGCAGACGCGCCCGGUUUGGGUCCGGGUGGAGGCUCCCAUCAAAGAUGUCCCCGUGCGGGUGCAAAUCCCGUCGACCGCA